CAGCAGCCGCGGUAAUACGUAGGUGGCAAGCGUUGUCCGGAAUUAUUGGGCGUAAAGCGCGCGCAGGCGGUCCUUUAAGUCUGAUGUGAAAGCCCCCGGCUCAACCGGGGAGGGUCAUUGGAAACUGGGGGACUUGAGUGCAGGAGAGGGAAGUGGAAUUCCACGUGUAGCGGUGAAAUGCGUAGAGAUGUGGAGGAACACCAGUGGCGAAGGCGGCUUCCUGGCCUGUAACUGACGCUGAGGCGCGAAAGCGUGGGGAGCAAACAGGAUUAGAUACCCGGGUAGUCCACGCCGUAAACGAUGAGUGCUAAGUGUUAGGGGGUUUCCGCCCCUUAGUGCUGCAGCUAACGCAUUAAGCACUCCGCCUGGGGAGUACGGCCGCAAGGCUGAAACUUAAAGGAAUUGGCGGG
rnacentral:rRNA from 1 species